rnacentral:rRNA from 1 species
CAGUAGCCGCGGGAAUACGUAGGUCCCGAGCGUUGUCCGGAUUUAUUGGGCGUAAAGCGAGCGCAGGCGGUUAGAUAAGUCUGAAGUUAAAGGCUGUGGCUUAACCAUAGUACGCUUUGGAAACUGUUUAACUUGAGUGCAGAAGGGGAGAGUGGAAUUCCAUGUGUAGCGGUGAAAUGCGUAGAUAUAUGGAGGAACACCGGUGGCGAAAGCGGCUCUCUGGUCUGUAACUGACGCUGAGGCUCGAAAGCGUGGGGAGCGAACAGGAUUAGAUACCCCAGUAGUCCCUGUCUCUUAUACC